GCUGCGAUGGCAGGCUGCCGGUCGCUGGUAACGGAACACAUCGGAGUUGGGUCUCGAGACAGCAAUUAAAAGACAAAAAGAGCCUGAUUUUAAAUGGUAGCAAGGCUGGAGAGCUUGUGAGACAGGCUGCCUUUCGCACUAUAUUAUAGCUGGCAGGGGCGCAUCUGAUUGGCCAAGCCGCACAAGCUUGUCUUCUGAUGUUAACCCUGAGAAAGACUACAUUUCUCCCCCCUCUGGCUGCUGUGGCUUUAUUUUCACCUGAAGGCUUCCAGUUUAAAAAAGAAAGAAAGAGAGAAAGAAAGAAAGAAAGAAAGAAAGAAAGAAAGAAAGAAAGAAAGAAAGAAAGAAAGAAAGAAAGAAAGUCUUUACUAAGUGUUCUACACACCAUUAUAUACCACAGUCAUGCCUGAAACACACAGAAUGCACUGAUGCCCAGCACGUCUUCCUCUUCUCAUCUAAAUAAACAUGGUCCUCCUUGGCUGAGUUCUUCCAUCUCUGCCUUAGGCUGUGCACAGCUAUGAGUUCCCCCAAGGACUUUGUCCAUAGGGAUGCCAACAAGAGGGGGCCAGGAAGAUGGAAAGUGUGCUCCACCUCCAAUCUAUGUUCAUGCUUCUUCCAGCUGGAUUCUUAAGAAGGACUUGACAUGUUUGUUGGGGUCCCAACAUCAGGCCCCAUUCUGUUGCUGAUACAAGACAGAGCGACUGAAAUGACCAAGUGAGCUGUGGUGCUCAGGCAAGACACCUUGCAAUGUGGAGAUCCUGUGAGCUCAGAAAGUGCUACAGCAGCCCCAAGUGAGGUGAACUACAGAAAAGUAACCUGUGCAUUAUCAGCAGCAUCUAAGAUUCUGCUGACUGCUUCUCCAUACAACUUUGGAUGGUAAAGAAGAGGCUUCAAGGUGAUCUUGUCCAGAGCUUUGGCAUCCUCUUGGAAACUUGAAGACAAAGCCUGAGCCUUAAAGGAUUUCUGAUAAACUCUUCCAAGGUACCUGGAGAGGGGGACACUGUCUGAAGUGGCUCCCUGUCUGAACCUUGGCUCUUUGCACCCCACUUGGUCUCCUUUACCACACAGGGCUCUACUUUUCUGCAGUUCCUACAGAAUUCUAUUUCUGUCUAGUUCCUCUGCAGGAUUCUGUCCUCAGAAGGACCAGUCAAUCAGAGUUGCACCCUUGGGAGCAGGAUCUACCCCUGUAAGUCUCUGGGUUUCCAAAGAUGAGCACACAGCAUAUCACAUAUUUUCGAUGGAAGAAAUGGCUGAACCAGAGAAAAUCAGACUAAGAUGUCACCAUCCCAUGUGAGGGGCUCAGCUGAGAGCCUGCAUGCUCAUGAGUCCAAGUAGAGCCUUUUGGAGUGAAGUAGGGGAAUCUUGUCAGUAUGGUGUCUAUACCCACCAGAGGUUCACAGAACAGGGUGCUCUGCCUUCAUAGAGGGGUGUGAUAUCCAUGGAGACACAGUACCUUUAGGAGGGGCACAAUCCCUAUAGGAGAAAUGUUAUCCCCACAGAAUGGACAUUGCUGGACAGAGUACUCAUGAGAACACAGUAGCUCAAGGAGGAGGUCAAUCCACUGUAAAGCUGGCCAACUCACAGUUGGUUGGCUGUGUCCAGAUCCAUCCCACCAUAGUCUGUUUCUUCUUGCCUGGCCAUUGCUGCUGCUCACCACCCCAGCUCCACUUCUUGGCUCAAGCACAGUAGCAACAGCCACUACAGCCUGCUGCUGCCCAUGGUAAUAAAAGAUUGCAACUCUCCCAAGGGUCCAUGAUAUGGUUGGCCUGCCCUGCCUAGCCUUGUACUUACCAGACCUCUUCAUGCCCUUCAGGGUCUGUUACAUGCUCUCUGCAAUCCACAGAGAUGCCUACACAACUGAGCACAUGUCACUAAGUAUGAGAGACCUACUUUUUGCCCACUAUGUCUACUUCCUGUGUCAUACAUAGUUUCUGCUGCAGUGCUUUCUGCCUCUGUGUGAAAGUAGAUAUCUUGUUCAGUCAAUGAUACAUACACCAAGGUUGAAUGUACAGGACAAGGGCACAGUGGUCAUCAUAAGAGUCAGGAGAUGAUUCAUUCAACCUGAUGAGACCCUUCUCCAGUCAGCUCAUGGUCAGAGGCUAAUCCAUGGGAUGUCCUGUAGCACUGCCUUCCUUCGAAGGAAUCUGUUCUUAUAAGAACCUUCUCUUAUUGUUAGUUUAUUUUGAAUGAACCAUUUAAGGUCCACAUCUAAAAGAUCAGGCACCUAAGUGUUAGAGAAGUUGGAAGCUUAUAGAAAGCCGCAAUACUAAGUUGAUCUCCUCUUCUCUGAGUACUACACAGGAGGAUUCUACAUGCCAGAUGGUCCUUGUAAGAUCCAUCCAUGCCAGCACAGGAGAGAUAUGUUUCUUCUUAUGUCUAGGAUGAACAGCACAUUAACAACUCCCCGGUGGUGACAAUUAGGGGCAAUUUGUGAACUAAAAUUGGCCAGUUGCCUUAUUACUUUGGAGAGCUGCGACACAGUGGGAAGAAGAAGAGACUCAAGUCCUACUGAGCCAUACAUGUUGGAUACUCAUUCUCAGGGAUGGCCACAUGCUGACAUGGCAAGGAUGGAACAGGAAGGGGCUCCUCUUGUGCCGUUAUCAUAUCUGAGGAUGUGGACAUGAAGAAUAUUCAUCAACAUGGAAGAGUGACAAGGGAAUCCCCCACUGGUCCUAGCCCACUGGUCCUCCCCCAAUCUCUCUAAGGCGCACUAUUUGUCUCAGCCUCUGACAAUGAUGCAGCCAUAACCUCUACUGCCGUGAACACACAGCUUCCUCACCUGCCUUCCCCGUGGGCCUCAUUUCUGCAUGAUCUGUGCAACGUCAGAGCAGUCUACUCUGUACCUAUAAUAGCAUCUGCUGCCAUGUAGUUGGGUGACUGUAUCAUUCUUAUUGGGCACAUGGUGGCUCUUAUUUCCAAUACACAAUCUUAUGU
ensembl:antisense